UGCCCAGAUUUUCAAAUUUUUGGGCGACUUUUACGGCAAUUUUCCAGCGACUUUCGACCACCAAGACCGCCAGAUUUUGAUACCGUUGAAAAGUCCACAACGUCCUCUUCAAUUACCAUCCAAAAUCUCUCCCAAAUUCCAAAGAAUUCGACUGGAAUAAACCCGCAAAGUCGGCAUCUCAAAAAGGCGAAAAUUUGGGAUGCCAAUUUUGUGAGUUUAUUCCGGUCUAAUCCUUUGGAGUUUUGGAUUCUGAUUAAAGAGGACAUUGUGGGCUUUCCAACGGUAUCAAAAUUUGGCUAUUUUGAUGGUCAGAAGUUGUCAAAAAAUCGCCGCAAAAGUCUACCAAAAAUAUGAAAAUUUGGGCA
rnacentral:miRNA from 1 species